rnacentral:rRNA from 1 species
CAUGAAGUUGGAAUCGCUAGUAAUCGCGGAUCAGCAUGCCGCGGUGAAUACGUUCCCGGGCCUUGUACGCACCGCCCGUCACACCAUGAGAGUCGGGAACACCCGAAGUCCGUAGCCUAACCGCAAGGGGGGCGCGGCCGAAGGUGGGUUCGAUAAUUGGGGUGAAGUCGUAACAAGGUAGC